rnacentral:rRNA from 1 species
CCAGCACAUAAUGGUGGGCACUCUGUGGAGACUGCCGGUUAACCGGAGGAAGUGGGGAUGACGUCAAGUCAUCAUGGCCCUUACGCCUAGGGCUACACACGUACUACAAUGGUGGGUACAAAGGGCAGCGAAACCGCGAGGUCGAGCGAAUCUCAAAAAACCCAUCAUAGUCCGGAUUGCAGUCUGCAACUCGACUGCAUGAAGUUGGAAUCGCUAGUAAUCCCGGAUCAGCAUGCCGGGGUGAAUACGUUCCCGGGCCUU